AUGAAUGUUUCAGUCCCAGCAGGGACUUUCAUCAGGAUCAGGCAUAAAGUUACUUUAUGCCUGAUCCUGAUGAAAGUCCCUGCUGGGACUGAAACGU
rnacentral:miRNA from 1 species